rnacentral:rRNA from 1 species
CCUACGGGUGGCAGCAGUGAGGAUUAUUGGUCAAUGGACGCAAGUCUGAACCAGCCAUGCCGCGUGCAGGAAGACGGCUCUAUGAGGUGUAAACUGCUUUUGUACGAGGGUAAACGCAGAUACGCGUAUCUGUCUGAAAGUAGCGUAAGAAUAAGGAUCGGCUAACUCCGUGCCAGCAGCCGCGGUAAUAAGGAUGAGUCAAGCGUUAUCCGGAUUUAUUGGGUUUAAAGGGUGCGUAGGCGGUCGGAUAAGUUAGAGGUGAACACCCGAGGCUCAACUUCGGAAUUGCCUCUGAUACUGUUCGGCUAGAGAGUAGUUGCGGUAGGCGGAAUGUAUGGUGUAGCGGUGAAUUGCUUAGAGAUCAUACAGAACACCGAUUGCGAAGGCAGCUUACCAAGCUACUUCUGACGUUGAGGCACGAAAUCGUGGGGAGCAAACAGGAUUAGAUACCCGGGUAGUC